rfam:Glossina brevipalpis unplaced genomic scaffold Scaffold40, whole genome shotgun sequence.
AUGUGUGUAGGAAGUAGGUUUAGUACGUAGGCACCAUGGAGUGUGAAUCGUGCAUGCUACUGGCACGGGCCGGUAGUAUCUUUGGAAGAUUCCCGCCUCC